AUGAAAUCUAAUAGGACUAUCUUUCCGCCCAUCAAAAUUAUGGUUUAAAGAUAUGUGUUGUCCGUUAGACAUUUUUUAUUUCUUCUCACAAAAAAAAAAAAGAGCAGAAAAAUCUCAUUAAACAAAUCUAAUCCCAUAAGGCGUCUCAUUCAACAAAUCUGAUCUAAACCACUUACUGAGUAAAUUGCAUCGUAUCUAAACC
rnacentral:lncRNA from 1 species